UUGGGAAUCUUGGACAAUGGGGGAAACCCUGAUCCAGCCAUGCCGCGUGAGUGAUGAAGGCCUUCGGGUUGUAAAACUCUUUCGCGCACGACGAUAAUGACGGUAGUGCGAGAAGAAGCUCCGGCUAACUUCGUGCCAGCAGCCGCGGUAAUACGAAGGGGGCUAGCGUUGUUCGGAAUUACUGGGCGUAAAGCGCGCGCAGGCGGUCUUCCAAGUCAGUGGUGAAAGCCCGGAGCUCAACUCCGGAACUGCCAUUGAAACUGUUAGACUUGAGUAUGAGAGAGGUGAGUGGAAUUCCCAGUGUAGAGGUGAAAUUCGUAGAUAUUGGGAAGAACACCGGUGGCGAAGGCGGCUCACUGGCUCAUUACUGACGCUCAGGCGCGACAGCGUGGGGAUCAAACA
rnacentral:rRNA from 1 species